AGAGCAGCAACAACACAAAGAAGAUUAGAAAUGUUUUCAAAUGUGCAAGAGAUUCUGUUUGCGAAAUAUAACCCUAAAAACUUGUUAUUAUCUUGGUUAUUUUUUUAACUGAGGAAAUAAGGAUCUAUGGCCUAGGUUCUAUAAAGAACCGCUGCCUAAACCUUCUCAAAAAAAUUAAAAAAAAAAAUUAAGUUACUUUAGGCAUUGUUUUUU
rnacentral:lncRNA from 1 species